UGUACAUAAGGAGAAAAAAAAAGAAAACGAAAAAGGAUGGUAGUUAGUUUGGUGAAGGCUUGUGAAGGCUUGUGGAGGAAGAAAGUGUUUGGGCCAAAGAGAUUGGAACGGUAUAAAUGAAUCUCAACGGCCUAGGUAUUGAGAAGAGAAGGCUUGAUGACAUAUACACCAUUUAUUGCAAGAACUUGAAGAAGAUGAGAUAUUGGUUGUUGAAGUUGAGAGCAUGUUGGGAGACAAAUAUGAUCCAACCAAGGGUUGCACAGUUAUAGUUGUUUGAUUUUGUAGGAAUGUAAUUUCUGGAUGUAACUUCAUACUUAGAACCGAUUGAUUCUUACAAUUUAGUAUUUUUUUUUCUCCAUAUUUAUGUUAUGAAAUUUAUUGGUUGUGGUAUAGAGAGUUAAGUAGUAGUUCCCCAAUAUUUUGGGUUUCUACUUUGAGUUGGCUAGUUUAUGGUCCUAGAUCCUAGUAAAAAUUUUAUCUUUCUUUUGCCUUUAUAAAAACAUGUUUAUAUUUGUAUAGAUACUACUUUAUUUUGUAAUUUGGAAUUGAUAUAGAGUAUAGUUAGAUUUUGGUUUGUUAAUGGAGGAAGAAAAUAAAGAAUUAAAAGCUUGGAACUUCAUGCAUCUUUUUCUCUCACUCUUUUCUUGGUGAAUGUAUUCAAGUCUUGAAGAUUAUGUAGCAGAGUACUACCAGCAGCAGGUAGAAAGGCUUGUUCCGUACUUAUUUUAAAGAGUUGAAGAUAACAAUCGAUGAGACAUUGAGCUUUGAGUUAUGUGAGAGUUCUUUUUUAACUGAGGUAACUGCUUAGAUUCUUCUGCUAAAGUUCAAAAUGUCCACACCUCCCAAGGAAUAACUCACGGUUCAACUGGAGUCGACAAGUUCAUGAGUUUUGUUUCAAAUAUCAUUUCCAGAAACGAACAUUCUCGGUUGGUCCAGUCAAAUAUAUUCGAAUGUUAUUUAAGAUAUUUUUUGAUUAAGGGCUAGUAUUUCGUACAUGUGGAUUACUGAAACUUGUAUUAAGAUGUACAAAUAUUAUAAAUCGUAUUAUAGUGUAUAUAUAUUAAAGUGUUGGCUAUUUUCUUGUACA